CCUACGGGUGGCAGCAGUGGGGAAUAUUGGGCAAUGGGCGCAAGCCUGACCCAGCAACGCCGCGUGAAGGAAGAAGGCUUUCGGGUUGUAAACUUCUUUUGUCAGGGACGAAGCAAGUGACGGUACCUGACGUAUAAGCCACGGCUACCUACGUGCCAGCAGCCGCGGUAAUACGUAGGUGGCAAGCGUUAUCUGGAUUUACUGGGUGUAAAGGGCGUGUAGGCGGGGAAGCAAGUCAGAUGUGAAAACCACGGGCUCAACCUGUGGCCUGCAUUUGAUACUGGUUUGCUUGAGGGCUGGAGAGGCGAGCGGAAUUCCGUGUGUAGCGGUGAAAUGCGUAGAUAUGCGGAGGAACACCAGUGGCGAAGGCGGAUUGCUGGACAAAAACUGACGCUGAGGCGCGAAAGCGUGGGGAGCAAACAGGAUUAGAUACCCCAGUAGUC
rnacentral:rRNA from 1 species